UGGUGUGUCAGAUCAGAUCAGAUCAGAUCAGAUCAGAAUGUAGGGACGUACUGGUGUGUGUGAGAUCAGAAUGUAGGGAGGUACUGGUGUGUGUGAGAUCAGAAUGUAGGGAGGUACUGGUGUGUGUGUCAGAUCAGAAUGUAGGGACGUACUGGUGUGUGUGUCAGAUCAGAAUGUAGGGACGUACUGGUGUGUGUGAGAUCAGAAUGUAGGGAGGUCCUGGUGUGUGUGAGAUCAGAAUGUAGGGACGUACUGGUGUGUGUGAGAUCAGAAUGUAGGGAGGUCCUGGUGUGUGUGAGAUCAGAAUGUAGGGACGUACUGGUGUGUGUGUCAGAUCAGAAUGUAGGGAGGUACUGGUGUGUGUGUGUCAGAUCAGAAUGUAGGGAGGUCCUGGUGUGUGUAGAUCAGAAUGUAGGGAGGUCCUGGUGUGUGUGAGAUCAGAAUGUAGGGAGGUACUGGUGUGUGUGUGUCAGAUCAGAAUGUAGGGAUGUACUGGUGUGUGUGAGAUCAGAAUGUAGGGAUGUACUGGUGUGUGUGAGAUCAGAAUGUAGGGAGGUCCUGGUGUGUGUGAGAUCAGAAUGGUCUGUCUGAAGCAUUACUAGUCCCAGGUCUGUCUGAAGCAUUACUAGUCCCAGGUCUGUCUGAAGCAUUACUAGUCCCAGGUCUGUCUGAAGCAUUACUAGUCCCAGGUCUGUCUGAAGCAUUACCAGUCCCAGGUCUGUCUGAAGCAUUACUAGUCCCAGGUCUGUCUGAAGCAUUACUAGUCCCAGGUCUGUCUGAAGCAUUACCAGUCCCAGGUCUGUCUGAAGCAUUACUAGUCCCAGGUCUGUCUGAAGCAUUACCAGUCCCAGGUCUGUCUGAAGCAUUACUAGUCCCAGGUGUGUCUGAAGCAUUACCAGUCCCAGGUCUGUCUGAAGCAUUACCAGUCCCAGGUCUGUCUGAAGCAUUACCAGUCCCAGGUCUGUCUGAAGCAUUACCAGUCCCAGGUC